GCUUCGAUGCGUCUCUGUCGUCAUCGGCAAGCGACGAGUGAUUCAACUCGGAUGCGACAAGUGUGAUAUUUAAGCGUCAGUAACGAUAUUGCGUGUGUUUAUAAAGAACAGUUUGCUCGGUAACAUUUCGGUAAUGUCCUCUCGAUUGUGUUUCUUUUUAUUCAGACCGAGAAUACCCAGAUCACGCGGUGCGGGAAGUCUUUCAUCACGUACAGCUAGAAGCGAGCACGAGGAGGCACAGAAACGAGCUGCGAACAGCUCUUUAUACCUCACUGACUCGUUACUGGGGUCUGCUGUGUCACACAGAGGCGGACUGAGUUUCUGCAGGAGCUUCUCCUCUUCUGUGUGCAGGACAGCUGCAGUCAACACACUAUCACCUGCAAAGUGUGCUCUAUGAAGACUAUAUCCAAGCUGGCCUAUCACAGGGGUGUUGUCAUAGUAACUUGUCCCGGAUGUAAGCACCACCACGUGGUCGCAGAUCACCUGCAGUGGAGGGGAAAAGAAACAUAGAGGAGAUCCUGGCUGCUGAAGGAGAAUCAGUGCGAAGAGUUCAAGAAAACGAGGCCCUGGAAAUUGUUGCAGAGGAAUCAAUAAAAGAGGCAUCGAGAAAUAAUCCAGAUGAACAGAAACCACCACAUCUGAGCGAUGAUUCAGACAAAACAUGACUGACAUUGUCAACUGCAUCACUGGACAUUUAUUAUUGUGAUAUUUUUAAUAAUCUGAUCACUUUGGAGUAGUUGUUUUUAAGUGUUUGGCUCCCCCUUGUGGUCACUGCAACAUUUUCACUUGAAUGCCCUUUGAUAUUUUCAACUGCAUGAAUGCAACCAAAUCAAUAGUUUUUGCAACACUUUUACGCUGUUCACGAGUUACAUACGUAUAUAUUAAUGUAUUUGUUUUAUUUUUGUUAU